rnacentral:rRNA from 1 species
CCUACGGGGGGCAGCAGUGGGGAAUAUUGGACAAUGGGGGGAACCCUGAUCCAGCCAUGCCGCGUGUGUGAAGAAGGCCCUCGGGUUGUAAAGCACUUUCAGUGAGGAAGAACGCCUGGUGGUUAAUACCCAUCAGGAAAGACAUCACUCACAGAAGAAGCACCGACUAACUCCGUGCCAGCAGCCGCGGUAAUACGGAGGGUGCGAGCGUUAAUCGGAAUUACUGGGCGUAAAGCGCGCGUAGGUGGCUUGAUAAGCCGGUUGUGAAAGCCCCGGGCUCAACCUGGGAACGGCAUCCGGAACUGUCAAGCUAGAGUGCAGGAGAGGAAGGUAGAAUUCCCGGUGUAGCGGUGAAAUGCGUAGAGAUCGGGAGGAAUACCAGUGGCGAAGGCGGCCUUCUGGACUGACACUGACACUGAGGUGCGAAAGCGUGGGUAGCAAACAGGAUUAGAUACCCGGGUAGUC